AGAUUGACCAAAUCUCUGGAUUUUCAUCCCUACUGUCAGACGAUGAAAGCAUCAUCAUUGCUGAUGAUAAUCCUUCAGAUUAAUUACAAGUUUUGGGUUUUCCAAAUCUAUGUUAAAGUAGAUGUGAAUUUAUCAAUAUGUUCAAUCGUAACUGAAUAAAAGAUGGUUUUUGCUUCGAUCUAAUGAAUGUGUUUCAUGUUUGUUUGUUGCACAAAUGACUGCUCACUCCGAGAGAUCUUCCUUCUGCAACCAAAACCUACAGGAAAUAACAAUCGCCUUGAGAAACUUUUAAAAACAGG